UAUUUCCAUUAUUUCGUUUUUUUCUGUUAUUUCCGUUCUUGUUCUUGACCUGUCACCUAAUUUUGUUCUUUAUGUUUCUGUCUCUGUGGAGGUUAUUUCCGUUAUUUUCGUUAUUUCCGUUAUGAUGUUUGAUAUUUCAGUUAUCAUUUCCGUUAUUUCCGUUAUUAUUUCUGUUAUUUCAUUUUUUUCUGUUAUUUCCGUUUUUAUUCUUGACCUGUCACCUAACUUUCUGCCGUAUGUUUCUGUCUCUCUGGAGGUUAUUUCCGUUAUUUCCGUUAUUUUUGUACUUUCCGUUCUUUCCGUUGAUGUUCUUGACCUGUCAUGUAUGACCGUAUGUUUCUGUCUCUCUGGAGGUUAUUUCGGUUAUUUUUGAUAUUUCCGUUAUUUCCAAUCUUGUUCUUGGCCUGUCACCUAAUUUUCUGCUUUAUGGUUCUGUCUCUGUG
ensembl:lncRNA